rnacentral:tRNA from 1 species
GGUCGGAUGGCUGAGUGGUUAGGCAGAGCUCCGCAAUCUCACAGUGGUUCGAAUCCACUUCCGACCU